rnacentral:rRNA from 1 species
UACGUAGGGUGCAAGCGUUGUCCGGAAUUAUUGGGCGUAAAGAGCUCGUAGGCGGUCUGUCGCGUCUGCUGUGAAAACUCAGGGCUUAACCCUGAGCUUGCAGUGGGUACGGGCAGACUAGAGUGUGGUAGGGGAGACUGGAAUUCCUGGUGUAGCGGUGGAAUGCGCAGAUAUCAGGAGGAACACCGAUGGCGAAGGCAGGUCUCUGGGCCAC